UAAAAAGCCAAAUCCACCCACUUACUCCAUUUCCUUUUCAGUUCUCUCCGUUCUUCUUGGCCGUUUCCGGUAAACCUCCUUUUACUUCACUACUGCAACUUUCCAUCUUCAUCUUCUCCACAAGAUCUCGCUCAAAUCACCAAAACUGCACCGCGCACUUCACACACUGCUUUUUUACGCGCGUAUCUGCUUCAAAUAUAGCAGAAAUCAAAAGCUCUUACGCCAUCACUAUUACAGAGAAAAAGUUGUCGAAAUUCCUACAGCUGAAAGCUCGAACAAAUUGACCCAACCAUUUGAGUCAUUGACUUCAAAAAUUAGGUCUCGCGGCAACUAGAAGAGUCUGCCCCACUACAGCCCCUGUUCGUUGAUAUUGGUGUGUUCAUAAGCAAAGCAAGAUUAAUAGCAAGAAUCGA